UUUGUGGUCUGGGUCAAUUGCAGGAAGCUCUCAGCUGGGCCAUUGUCCUUUAGUUUAUGCUAAGAUAAAGUUAUCCAAACAAUGUACCAUCCUAUGGCUUUCUUGAAUAUGGUGCUUGAAUGACUAUUUUGAAGAAGAAAUCGGGGGAAGAGGAAGGAGAGAAGAGAAAACCUGCCUCUGAGUGCAAUGAACACCAUUCGGGCGAUGGGCACACUUACAGCCCUGACUCAAG